rnacentral:lncRNA from 1 species
UCUGAUAAAUUUGCUUGUUUUAUUUUUCUCUGGCAUAUAAAUUUCAUGCAUUUAUGGGAACUGUGGUUAUAUACAUCAGGCAGAGUAUAGAAAUAAGACUGACAAAUUUCAAAGCACACCACUGCAAAAAGAAGUUAUUUUUUUAUAUUCAAACUCCUGCCUUCAGCUUUGCUUGUUUAAAUCUCAUCCUCCUCCCAGUCCUAUAGCUAAGCAUUUCCCCAAACCCUCCUCUUUCUUUCAGGUGAGUUGGCUCUUCCUUUCACCUCCCCAUGAGGCUACUACUCCUGAUAUUUUUAAGUUAUCUUCUUGCUUGUCGUGAUCACUUUUAUCCUCGUGGUCCAUUUCCUCUCAUCCUUCCUGUGUUUGCUUCUCCUUCCUCUUAUGUCAUGCUUUCAUCAUAUUGCCCCUUUUUCUCUAUAAUCAAUGAGCAGAUAUUCUUUCUGGAUAUUUUCUUGAGGGUUUAGUUAGCUCCAGAGCCUGGAACUGUCCUGGCAAUCUUUUUAUUGUGUAUUUACCAAGAGUGGCGCCCAAUCCCUGAUCACGCUCACAUAGACAUGCACACACACGCCAUCAUGGGCCCAGAGCAUCUUCAACAAAUGUUGUAUGAUGAGUCAUCAGUACCAUACUGAUCGCACAGAGACAUUAAGGUACCCCAUAGAUAUUUUACACUUCCCUACUGCCUAUAUUACAGGGCUAAGACACAGACAAAACAUACAACAAAAUUAAUGAAAUAUUUUAACCAUAUUGGGCUUGAACCAAUUAGCAACACACAGUAAUUUUAUGGGUAUGAUGUACAAGGAGUUUCAAAGCCUUUCAUAAUUAGGAUCUUGCUCUAAAAAUUCACAGAGUGCUGCUCCAUGUCAAUGAGAUGAAAUUAUGUAGGCUGAUGUCUCUGCUGGUCACAUCGAUGUUUAACACCUGUUGGGAACCAAAGGAAAAGUAUUGGGAAUUUGGUGACUGAAAUUUCCUGCACUCAAACAAAUCAGAUACAAACCAUGGUCUGCAUGACACUCUGAUACUUUCACAGUUCAUUGCCUUG